GGCGGAGUGCGGCGGGCCCCGCUCCGCGGCGUGCGCCGGCAACCAUGAACUUUCUGCUCACUUGGAUCCACUGGGGGCUGGCGGCGCUGCUCUAUCUGCAGAGCGCGGAGUUGUCGAAGGCUGCUCCGGCCCUGGGGGAUGGGGAGCGGAAGCCCAAUGAAGUUAUCAAAUUCCUGGAAGUCUACGAGCGCAGCUUCUGCAGGACAAUUGAGACCCUGGUGGACAUUUUCCAGGAGUACCCUGAUGAGGUGGAGUACAUAUUCAGGCCAUCCUGUGUGCCUCUGAUGAGAUGUGCGGGUUGCUGCGGCGAUGAGGGCCUAGAAUGUGUCCCUGUGGAUGUGUACAACGUCACGAUGGAGAUCGCGAGAAUUAAACCCCAUCAGAGUCAGCACAUAGCGCACAUGAGCUUCUUACAGCACAGUAAAUGUGACUGCAGACCAAAGAAAGAUGUCAAAAAUAAACAAGAAAAGUGGGCACAGAAACCCAGAUCUGAUGGUCCUUCCUACAUACCCCAGACCUGGAGCUUGCAUGACCCACAGCCAUGGCAGUCAUUCCUAAUGCUUUACCCUGAGUCAGGGAAGUCCCGUCGUGUGUGUCCUACCAGAAUGGAUUCAAGGUGCAGCCCCCAUUCUCCCUUGCCUCCUCCUGGGGUGUUUCUGGUUACUGCAUAUCGCUGCCUUUCUUCAUUAUUAAUUUUUUUUCUUGCUGCUUGAGUGAGAACUUGCUCGCUUCUUUCACAGCAGCUUGGGUUGGAGCUCUGCUGGCUACAGGGAGAGGUGGCAGUGGAGGCUUGGUGGAGGCAGGACUGAUGCCAUGCACGAUGUGAUGCUGGUUUUGGUUGGGUGGGGGCCUGGGAGGAUGUAAAGGAUGUGGAGGUCCUGGUGGAGGCUUUCAAGAGAGUUUUCUUGAGCUGAUGGAUUUGCUCUGGUGACCUGAAGAAGGUUAAGGCACAACCUUCCCUUUCCUUCCUUCCCAAAGUAAAAAGGUUGUGGAAAGGAGAUAAAAAAAAGCUCUCGUCCUGCAGUAGUUGCAGGGACGAUCACAAAACGUGGAACAACAUGGACAAAAAGUGACCUCUCUGGACAAGAGGGUCAGCCGGACUGCGCAUGGCUGGGAUAGUGACUCUGCCAUAUAGAGGUGCGGAGUUGGAGAGGAAAGGGGUAAAUACUGGGAGAUGAGGCUGAAACAGAGAGCAAGUGGAAGAGUGAGAGAGAACGUCUUUCACCCCUUUCCUGGUGGUUGUGGAUUUCUAGCUGCCUUCCAGUCCCUCUUCUUCCCCCUGGAAAGCUGCUCGUGGCUGCAUCAGGCUCUGUGCAGCCAAAGCUCCCCUCUGUGCAGGACCGUGUUGGGGAUGGUCAUCUGCGUGGCUCUGUGGUUUGAAGGUGUGCAAGUUGGGUCUGUGUGAGCUCUGGUGAGGAUGGGGUGUGGGUGAAGCAGCCAGCCCAGACUGCGUUGCAUUCCCUUUCCUCUUCUAACAGCACCUUGCCUGCUCUUUGCUGGUUCUGCACUCCCUGGGGAAGGAAGGGAAGGGAUGGGAGAGAUCGGUAUGCUUUGAUUUGUUCUGAUUUGAAAGUCCCGUUAUAUAUCUCCAUCUUCAGAUUGAUUUUCUUCUUCCUCACCACCUCCCUGUGCCUCCUGACAUGUAGGGCAGCAGCUGGGAGUGAGCUGAUGCUCUGAUACACAUUCCAUCAAGAAGACUGGAGCAGGCCUAAGAAACACCUGUGGUGUUCCUUUCUGUCCCCCUGCUCCACCUCAACAGCUCCCUCCCAGGAUGUGCUGCCCCCAGGCAGAGUGGGGAAGGAGGGAGGCUGCUGAGCUGCUGUGGGGCUCAUAAGUCUGACAAACCCUGGUGCUUGUCCCAAGGCCUUCUCACAUGCCUGUCCUUUGUUGCUAUGCUGAUAUAGCUCGAGGAGCAAUGCAGGCUCCAGCCUCCCCUUCUCUGUGCUCUCAGUGGGCUGCAGAGAUCCAUGAUUAGUGUCCAUGCCUGCAUGUUCCAGCCCUUGCCUGUCUCAGCUCCUGCCCAAAAAUCAGAAGCAGCAGGUGAAUCUUUAAGAGAGUGCUUUGGCUCCGUCCGUUUGUCUGUCUGUCAGAUCUAUGUGGAAAGCAAAGGGAAGGGCUGGAUGGAGGUGGAAAGAAAGGAAAAUCUGAAAGCUGCUUGCAGUUUUCAUCUCCUGUGUGUCCCGACUGGGCUAGACCUUCCUGUUCAUCCUCUGUUGCUCAUCACAGAGGAUGCUGGAGGGUGCGUGAGCAGAAAGUGAGGUCUUCCUGAGUCCACUGAGCCACAGGCACUGGUAGGGUGGGUGAGCAGAGCUUUCAGGCUGCAGUCCCCCGCUCCCAUGCAGCAGCACUGCUCAGAACAGGCCUCAAUCCUUGUCCCCAGCAUACUGAGCCCAGGGCCCCAUCGCUCCCAUCCCGUGGCAGGAUGAUUGCCAUCCCUACAGUGGGGCUGCUGGGUGUCCCUUCCUCACCAUCAGAUCACGGUGGUCUCUUUUUCUCCAUGUCAGCCAGCGUAAACCUGAGCUUGUCACCAGAGCUGGUUGUCUGCGCUCGCUGCAGUUGUGUGAUGCUUUCACCAGGCUUCCUGAUCCCUUCCCCUCUCCACUGCCCCUCUCCAGGAGUGCGGGUAACCCUCAGAGGCUCGUGGAUGCCGGAGCCUCACAUGGAGGUGGCCUCUGCACGCUGUGUUCCUGGCGCUGGCUUGGCUGCGGGCAGGCUGGUGGCGGUGCUGCAAGAGGGCCAGUGAGUGUGUGUGCGAGGUGGAGGUCUGUGCUUCACUCCAGGACUUGCCCUCCAAUCCUGCCUCAUGUGCUUUCCCCUCCCAGCAAGGCACAUGGCUGUGUUUUUUCUCUCUUCUUCCUUGCGUUUUCUUCUGUUUUCUCUCUUGCUCUCCCUCUCUCUUUCCUGCUCUCUCUCUCUUUCUCUGUUUUUUUUUGUUUUGUUUUUCUUCCAGAAAAUCAAAGCGAGGAAAGGGGAAGGGUCAAAAGAGAAAGCGCAAGAAAGGCCGGUACAAACCACCCAGCUUAUGUGAAAAACCGAGACGGUGAGCAGCGGAAAAGAAGGGGGAACAGCCCUGUUUCUGGAGCCUGAUUUCUCGCCUGGACAGAAAAAUACAAAA